UACCAGCACCCCGAGUGGUCGGGACGAUUAUUGGGCCUAAAGCAUCCGUAGCCGGUUUUACAAGUCCUCCGUUAAAUCCAGCUGCUUAACAGAUGGGCUGCGGAGGAUACUAUAAGACUAGGAGGCAGGAGAGGCAAGCGGUACUUAGUGGGUAGGGGUAAAAUCCGUUGAUCCAUUGAAGACCACCAGUGGCGAAGGCGGCUUGCCAGAACGCACUCGACGGUGAGGGAUGAAAGCUGGGGGAGCAAACCGGG
rnacentral:rRNA from 1 species